CGGAGGACAUUUUUGGCAGAGGGACGAACCAGUUCAGCUGUGCACUUCUUGGCGCUUGUGCUUCCGGCUGUGCUCUGGUUUGAGUUUGUAUUUACACGAUGCUCCACAGAAUCCCGGCAUUUCUACGCCCUCGCCCUUUCUCGGGCCUCCCUUUGUCCUGUGGAAACCGGGACGUCUCGGUGGCUGUGCUACCCGCGGCUCAGUCCGGAGCUGUGAGGACAGAAAAUAAUAUCCAAAGACAUUUUUGCACUAGCAGAUCAAUCUGUAGCAAGAAAGUUGACCAGUCUGUUCCAGCCAAUGAAAUUUCCCAGAAGGCAGCAGAGAGCCAAGGCAGGGGAAAGGAGACUUUGAAAAAAGACCUGCUGGACAUUAUUAAGGACAUGAAAGUUGACCUGAGCACAGCAAAUGUGAAAACACCAAAGCCACGUGGCAGAAAACCUUCUGCCAGUCUGGAGGCUACCGUUGACAGGCUUCAGAAAGCUCCGGAAGACCCUCCAAAGAAGAGGAAUGAGUUCCUGAGUCCUGAGUUGGUGGCUGCAGCGUCGGCUGUUGCAGAUUCCCUACCUUUUGACAAGCAGACAACCAAGUCAGAGCUGCUCAGGCAGCUGCAGCAACACGAGGAGGAGUUGAGGGCUCAGAAGGACAGAGAGAAGCGCAGGAUCAGCUUCACUCACAUAAUAUCAAAUAUGAAAAUUGCCAAGUCUCCCUCCGGGAGAGCUAGUACAAGGCCACAGCACCAGAUUCAGUUUGACGAAGACAUGGACAGUUCUCUUAAGCAGGAGAAGCCAACUGAUUUCAGAAAAAGGAAAUAUUUAUUCAAGGGGAAAAGACUUUCAAUUUUUGCUGAUAAGGCGUUUGCUGAUGAACCACCUGAACCAGGUUUGUUAAGACAAGAACAGCCUUUUCCAAGUAGAGAAGUCGUCUGUCGUUCAGAAAAGGUCCUGCUGUCUUGGCUGUAUAACAGCUGGAAGCAUCACCUUCUCUCUGGGAGAUAGAGUUUGCUAAGCAGUUAGCCUCGGUAGCUGACCAGCCCUUUGAGAAUGGAUUUGAGGAGAUGAUACAGUGGACCAAGGAGGGGAAGCUGUGGGAGUUCCCAGUCAACAAUGAAGCAGGUUUAGAUGACGAUGGCUCCGAAUUCCAUGAGCAUAUAUUUUUGGAUAAGUACCUGGAGGAUUUCCCCAAGCAAGGACCAAUCCGUCUGUUCAUGGAGCUGGUGACCUGUGGCCUUUCCAAAAACCCAUAUCUGAGUGUUAAACAGAAGGUCGAGCACAUAGAGUGGUUUAGAAAUUAUUUUAAUGAAAAAAGAGAUAUUCUCAAAGAAAAUAAUAUAGCGUUCACUUAACAUCACAAAGAAAAAAAUUUUAUUUAAACUUGAAGAUGUAUAUUAAAGCUAAAUAGAAAUUUUAUCAAAAUUCUCCUGUGUUGAUCAUUGUACCUGAUGUGACUAACAUAACUGUGAAAUUACUUUUAACCCGAAAUACAUUCUUAUUAUGUAUCUGAGAAUUAGGGAUACAUCUAAGACAAUUCUAACUUUUUUCAUUAGGUGGCUUUGCUUCUUUGUGGUAUAUAAUUGUUAGUGGUAAAGCUGAUUAACAUCAAAA